rnacentral:lncRNA from 1 species
AGUGCACCUCCCGCCGUAGCCUGAGAGGGAUCGGCCCGAUUGGCCACGCUCCUUCAAACCACCACUUUCCCCCGAAAAAGGGACGAAAGCCUCAGGUCCCCAAACGAGCGCUCCCUCGCCCAGAGACCCCGGCUUGCACACCCCGCCCUGUUCCCCGCGGCGCGGGAGGAGAGGCCGCCCCACACAGGAAGUGUGUCCUGCGCCGGGACCUUGCGCCCAACCCGCCGGUACCUGCCCUCCGCCCCCAACAGGCGAGAAGCAGCCGCGUCCACAUGGCUUCAGGUGUUCACAUGGCAGUAAACGGGCCCCUGCUCUCCUGGGCGCCCCAGCGCGGCGCCCUCCCGCCCACAUCCCGGCCCAGCCCCGCUGGCCUCGCCUCCAGCCCGUAGCCAAGAGGCGAGCGCGGCCGGUGCCCCCGGGGCUGCCAGGGGCCCCGAAGCAGGCGGCGCUGACUCCCGGACGCCGCCCGCUCACACCCGCCGCCUUUGCACCCAAGGCCUCGCGCGACCAGCAGGUCACUGAUUCUACUACCAUCUGUCAGCGUGGAUUGAUUGAGGAGACUGGCCCUGCUCGGCAGAUCAGUGACUUGUGCGAAGGUCCCACAGAAACUUCUGCUCUCCAGGUUUGCCCCUCCACUCUGCCCUCCAGGAUAGAAGUGUGGCAUCCUAAUCUGGGAUGCAUCCAUCUCUCCCCCUGGACUGUGAGCAUAUGCAGGGCAGAGACACCUCUGCUUCUCUUGGGUCUCCGGCAUCCUGUGCAGGAUGGGGCCACUGAGGUGCAAAGAGUUUAACUUAUCCCAAGUCACACAGUUUGGAAGAGGCUGAGCUGGUAUUUGAACCCAGGUUUUCAGAGGCUGCACUCUUAACCACCAAGCUUCCCAGCACUCAGCAAACACUGGAAAGACAGAGAUGGACCUAGACAGUCAGUAGGACCAAAAGUCUGCAGGCCGAUAGGGAAAGAAUGUAAGAGGACGGCAUGGGCAGCGCCAGCCCCUCCAGCAGUCAUAUAUUAAGCCCUGGACACUGGGCAGCUCGGGCAGGUCGGGGGGCCUCAGACUCUCGGACCCCAUGCCUGGAAGACCACGGUCUGCCCAACAAGCAGCAGCUGCUGUGAAUCGACUUACACAUCUUCCCCACAGGUGAGCAGAGAGCUAACACCUGAGGAUAGGCCAAGAAACGGGAAGCCCGUGCAACCUGAGCGCACAGAUCACCCCCACCUGCCCGGCACUCACUGUCCCCAGUGGCUGGACUCUCAUCGGGCCAGUCACUGAGCUGGCGCCAGCCUGGUCUCACCAGUGUGUGUCUUUAAAUCAUCCAAUUUCUUCAGCUGUAAAUUGGGCUGGGAGGGGCCAGGUGAGCUGCCUGCCUCAGGGGAGUCGGCGCCCUUACCUGAGUGAUCCCAUUCACUCCUCACAACAAACCCAUGAGGCAGGGAUUGUCAUCUUCAUUGUACAGAGCAGGAAAUGGGUGCACACAGAGGUUAAGAGACUUGCCCAGGUCACACAGCUAGGAAGAGGCUGUGAUUUGAACUCAGUCUUCUGGCUCCAAAGCCCCCACAGAGUCACUCAGGGCACUACAAAGAGUUAACCUGAAUAUGAAAUGAUCUAAGAGUCGCAGUGACAAAGGCAUGCUCUAAGCGCUUUUCCUGCAGUAACUUGCUUAAUCCUUACAACAACCCUAUAAAGUGGGUACUGUUCUCGCCUCAUUUUGCAGAUGAGGAAACUGAGGCACAGAGCAGCUCGGAGGGGGCAGAGCUGAAUCUGACAGGCUACAGGGCCCCUGCGUUGCUUUGUUAUAAGAUGACAAUAAGGAAGUUCCUUUCCUUUGGGAUUAUUUCUGCCUGAAAGCUCAAGACUUUUAGCCACAUCAUUGUCUGGGCUCCACGGGAAGGCAGUGCCACAUGCUGAGGCAUGCUGGGAAAAGACUUUGUUCCAUCCUGUUUUGUUGACAUGCUCUUCAUUUUUAAGCCUGAAACCGAAGCUUCCUGCUAAGAAUUCAAACCAUGGAGAAAAACGCAGCCAUGAUAACGGCCACUACUUCCUGAGCCUCCAGUGUUCCCUGUGCUUGGGGAUCCAUAUAUGUCACUUAACCUUAACCUUCACAACACCAGGGCAGCCUCCAUUUUCACAAGUGAAGAAAUGGAGGCCCAGAGUCACUUAGAAGAUGCUCGAAGGUGCACAGCUGCUAAGUGGUGGUGCUGGGAUUUGUCCUCAGGUCCUCAAGAGUCCUGACUCUUAUGUGCUGGCUCCCCACGGAGGCGUGGAGUCUUGUUUGCUGGGCAUUUGACAGAAAUGUUUCUGCUCAUCUUCUGCCACAGGUUGGUCCUUCAGCGUCAAGAUUCCUGGGCCACUUAUUAAUAGAAGGCACCAGGACACAGGUGCAGGGAUGCAGAGCUGGAUGCUGCCUUCUCAAUAGGAGAAGCCAAGAAACGCAGAUGCCGAUGCUUAAUCAACUCCGUCUCUCCCUCUAGUGACUCGGGGAUAGCUGCCCUGAUGCCAAGGCGAUUGUCUUCUGGAAGCAGCCACGCCGUGUGAGGUUCCUCAUCACUGCCCUGCAUCUCCCUGCGAGCUCUCGGGGAUAAUUGCAAAAUCACGUUUGAUUCCAGGGGAGCAGAAAGCAGCAGGAGCCGUGAAUUCUCCAACUCUUAACUGGUCCUCGACUGGAGCCACUUUUCCCUGCCCACCCAUCCCUGUGGCGGAUUCAUUACAGUUAUCCAAAGCCGGUUUUAACUUUGCUCCCCCUGGCUCAGAAGUCUGUCAGUGGGUCCUGAGCGGCUUCACCAUUCAAGUUUAUUCCUAUCAGCCUGGAAUACAAUGCUCUAUCUGGCUCCGCUUGCUUCUCCAAACCUUCUCUCCCAGGUCUCAUUCUGCCUCUCUGUCUAACUAGACAAGUUGGCUUCCUGUCCUGUGCCUGUCUGCUCCCUGCAGCAGGAAUGCCGUUCCCUCUUCCCUACAGAUUGAAAUUAUAUCCUCUUUCAAGUCUUACUCAAAUGCCACCUCCUCCACAAACUCUUAACACUUAUUCAUUCAUUCAACAAACAUUGACUGAGCCCUUAUGACAAGCAUUGAUCCCAAGGGUCCCUGUGGUCAUGAAGUUUAUGGUGCCAUGGAGCUGUUAGAAAAAGAAUCAUCACAUAAAUAAUCAUCUGAUAACAGCCAUGAUACAAAUUAGUAAGAAAGUGUGGCAGGAGCACAGCAGAUGUACAAUAGGGACCCUGAGCCUUGGGGAUCUAGGACAUUUGAGCUGAGGCCUGAAAGACAAGUAGGAAGUAACCACAUGGUGAAGUUGGAGGAGAGCUCCAGGCAGAGGGCACGGCAUGGGCAAAGGCCCUGCGGUAGGAGGGAACAAGUAGAUUUCCAGGAAGGGCACAGGGGCCUGCAGGGUAAUGUAAGUGAAAUGAGAAAGCUGGAGAUGCAGCUGGAGCAGGACAGUACAGGCCACAGAGGCUUUGCGACUUUAUCCCUGGGCAAAAAGAGGAGAUGAUGAAGGAUUCUGAGCACAGGACACAAGCCAGUAUGUAUUUAGACGCGAUCCUGCCCUGUGGCUGAGCCUCUUCUGAGAAGUGCAGGCCCUGUGUCACGUCACCCUGAACCUCAGUCAUCAGGGUUUUGGAUGUGAGUUUCCAUAUCCCUCUUCCUAGGCCAAGCUCUCAAAGGCAAGGCUGACCUCUGGUCUUCAGCUUCAUCCUCAUCAGCCAGGCCAGUGCCCAGCACAAGGAGCUGCUCCAAAAACAUACGUGGGUUGAACCAGUGACCAGGACAAGACGCUUAUCAGCAUUUCCCUGCGAAGGAGCAGGGCUGCCUGUAAAGCCUUCCACAUUCUCUAGAAAUUACAAAGUUCAAGGGUUUUAGUGAGGCCACGACUCAGGGAGCCCUUGAGAGCCAAGCUGGCAUCCCACUGCUGUGCACACCCAGCCUGGGCACACAGUAUGACCCUGCCCAGGCAUCUGCCUGCGGCCGUCUGGUGAAUGACCAGAAACAGAACCGAAAGCUCUGUAAAGUGCUCUCAAGGUUACAAAGCAUGUUUCACAGGAGCAGUUUCAUCUCACACGGGCAGCCCUCUGAGCUGGGUAGUUACUGCUUUACAGAUGAGGAAACUGAGGCCCGGGAGAGGGCGGGACCUCAGCAAAUCAAGAAAAAACUGAGACUAGGACCUAACGGAAGUCCAGGCUAUGAAUGGCCCCCGUAGGGUUAAAAGAGCUUUCUAGAAAUUUCUUUGAAAACUAUUGUAAAGUGACAUAUUUCCUCAGGAUGUCUGUCACGCCAGCAGUGGGAGCCAACACACCAACUCUCAGAGGCUGUUCCCCCUGCGCGGCAGAUCCAGACGCUCAGCUCCCAGGCCUGGAGGCUGGCGGCUUAGCCCAGGGCACAGGAGGAGGCUGCCUGGGUUUGGCGCUGACUUACAGCAGGUGCUGAGGGAAUGCUGAGGAGAGGCAAGGCUGAUUCAAGAGGCCGACAACAGAGAACAUUCCUAGAGCUCUCCCGCCAGCUAGGCAUGGUGCUAAGUGCAUUACCUGCGUCCACUCGUAACAUCCUCACAACACUGUGAAUACGAUGACCAUCCCCAUGUACAGGCGUGGACGCUAAGGCUCAGAGCAAUAAAUAAUUAGCCUGAGAUCACACGGCAGCCUCCUCCCCUAGGGCUCUCUAGGCUUCCUUUACCCGUCCUGCCUCAGAUGGACUCCCAGCAUCAUCAUCUGCCUCUGUGCCUUCUUGGUAGUAGGUGGGUGUGAAAAAGAAAGGAAGGGCCAGGUGCAGUGGCUCAUACCUGUAGUCCCAGCACUUUGGGAGGCUGAGGCGGGCGGAUCACCUGAGGUCAGGAGUUCGAAACCAGCCUGGCCAACAUGGUGAAACCCUAUCUCUGGUGGCAGGUGCCUGUAAUCCCAGCUACUUGGAAGGCUGAGGCUGGAGAAUCACUUGAACCUGGGAGGCAGAGGUUGCAGUGAGCAGAGAUUGCGCCACUGCACUCCAGUCUGGGCAACAGAGCGACUCCCUCUCAAUAAAUAAAAUAAAAUAAGGAAGGACAGAGGGCAAUGUGACCUUCGGCAAGCUCCCUAAGCUCCUGAAGCCUCAGCCUUUUCACCCGUAGAACAGGGACAUUAACAUCACCCCCGAGUGAGGGCUGCAGGCACACAGUGACUGCGCUUCUCAGUGCCACAAGUGCUGUUGCCAUCAUUCCAGCCUCAGGUGCUCCGUGAGGUGGGACGAUUCACCCCAUGAGCAAACAGGCUCAGGGAGGUGUGGUGCCUACAGUCACCCAGCAGACACAGCGGAGCAAGGAGGAAGCCACACCUG